rnacentral:rRNA from 1 species
CCUACGGGUGUCAGCAGUAGGGAAUAUUGCUCAAUGGGGGCAACCCUGAAGCAGCAACGCCGCGUGGAGGAUGAAUGUUUUCGGAUUGUAAACUCCUUUUGUUAGAGACGAUAAUGACGGUAUCUAACGAAUAAUCACCGUCUAACUCCGUUCCAUCAGCCGCGGUACUACGUAGGGUGCAAGCGUUACACGGAAUCACUGGGCGUAAAGCGCGCGUAGGCGGGAUAGCAAGUCAGAUGUGAAAUACUAUGGCUUAACCAUAGAACUUCAUUUGAAACUGUUAUUCUAGAGUAUGGGAGAGGUAGGUGGAAUUCGUGGUGUAGGGGUAAAAUCCGUAGAGAUCAAGAGGAAUACUCAUUGCGAAGGCGACCUGCUAGAACAUCACUGACGCUGAUGCGCGAAAGCGUGGGGAGCAAACAGGAUUAGAUACCCGAGUAGUC